rnacentral:rRNA from 1 species
UACGUAGGGCGCAAGCGUUGUCCGGAAUUAUUGGGCGUAAAGAGCUCGUAGGCGGCCAGUUGCGUCUGCUGUGAAAUCCCGGGGCUCAACCCCGGGCGUGCAGUGGAUACGGGCUGGCUGGAGGCAGGCAGGGGAGAACGGAAUUCCCGGUGUAGCGGUGAAAUGCGCAGAUAUCGGGAGGAACACCGGUGGCGAAGGCGGUUCUCUGGGCCUGUACUGACGCUGAGGAGCGAAAGCGUGGGGAGCGAACAGG